rnacentral:piRNA from 1 species
UUGUAAUAUUGUUGACUGACUAAU